GAUGAACGCUGGCGGCGUGCCUAAUACAUGCAAGUCGAGCGAACGGACGAGAAGCUUGCUUCUCUGAUGUUAGCGGCGGACGGGUGAGUAACACGUGGAUAACCUACCUAUAAGACUGGGAUAACUUCGGGAAACCGUAGCUAAUACCGGAUAAUAUUUUGAACCGCAUGGUUCAAAAGUGAAAGACGGUCUUGCUGUCACUUAUAGAUGGAUCCGCGCUGCAUUAGCUAGUUGGUAAGGUAACGGCUUACCAAGGCAACGAUGCAUAGCCGACCUGAGAGGGUGAUCGGCCACACUGGAACUGAGACACGGUCCAGACUCCUACGGGAGGCAGCAGUAGGGAAUCUUCCGCAAUGGGCGAAAGCCUGACGGAGCAACGCCGCGUGAGUGAUGAAGGUCUUCGGAUCGUAAAACUCUGUUAUUAGGGAAGAACAUAUGUGUAAGUAACUGUGCACAUCUUGACGGUACCUAAUCAGAAAGCCACGGCUAACUACGUGCCAGCAGCCGCGGUAAUACGUAGGUGGCAAGCGUUAUCCGGAAUUAUUGGGCGUAAAGCGCGCGUAGGCGGUUUUUUAAGUCUGAUGUGAAAGCCCACGGCUCAACCGUGGAGGGUCAUUGGAAACUGGAAAACUUGAGUGCAGAAGAGGAAAGUGGAAUUCCAUGUGUAGCGGUGAAAUGCGCAGAGAUAUGGAGGAACACCAGUGGCGAAGGCGACUUUCUGGUCUGUAACUGACGCUGAUGUGCGAAAGCGUGGGGAUCAAACAGGAUUAGAUACCCUGGUAGUCCACGCCGUAAACGAUGAGUGCUAAGUGUUAGGGGGUUUCCGCCCCUUAGUGCUGCAGCUAACGCAUUAAGCACUCCGCCUGGGGAGUACGACCGCAAGGUUGAAACUCAAAGGAAUUGACGGGGACCCGCACAAGCGGUGGAGCAUGUGGUUUAAUUCGAAGCAACGCGAAGAACCUUACCAAAUCUUGACAUCCUUUGACAACUCUAGAGAUAGAGCCUUCCCCUUCGGGGGACAAAGUGACAGGUGGUGCAUGGUUGUCGUCAGCUCGUGUCGUGAGAUGUUGGGCUAAGUCCCGCAACGAGCGCAACCCUUAAGCUUAGUUGCCAUCAUUAAGUUGGGCACUCUAAGUUGACUGCCGGUGACAAACCGGAGGAAGGUGGGGAUGACGUCAAAUCAUCAUGCCCCUUAUGAUUUGGGCUACACACGUGCUACAAUGGACAAUACAAAGGGCAGCGAAACCGCGAGGUCAAGCAAAUCCCAUAAAGUUGUUCUCAGUUCGGAUUGUAGUCUGCAACUCGACUACAUGAAGCUGGAAUCGCUAGUAAUCGUAGAUCAGCAUGCUACGGUGAAUACGUUCCCGGGUCU
rnacentral:rRNA from 1 species